rnacentral:rRNA from 1 species
UACGUAGGGGGCGAGCGUUACCCGGAUUUACUGGGCGUAAAGCGCGUGUAGGCGGCUGGUCAAGCGUGGUGUGAAAUCUCCGGGCUCAACCCGGAAACUGCAUUGCGAACUGACCUAGCUGGAGUGCAGGAGAGGGCAGCGGAAUUCCCGGUGCAGCGGUGAAAUGCGUAGAUAUCGGGAAGAACACCAGUGGCGAAGGCGGCAUCCUGGACCGAUACUGACGCUGAGGAGCGAAAGCCAGGGGAGCAAAUGGG